rnacentral:rRNA from 1 species
CCAGUCAGAUUGGGGACACGUGUACUGGAUUUAUAGGUACACAAAGCUAACCUGGGGAACUGAAACAUCUAAGUACCCAGAGGAAAAGAAAUCAACUGAGAUUCCGUCAGUAGCGGCGAGCGAACGCGGAAGAGCCUAGUUAUCAGCUCACUAUUUUUUCUAGCAGAAUGUUCUGGAAAGUUCAACCAUAGUAGGUGAUAGUCCCGUAUGUAAAAGAUAAUAUGGUGUAGAUAACAAUAAGUAGGUCGGGACACGUGUAAUCUUGACUGAAGAUGGGGGGACCAUCCUCCAAGGCUAAAUACUACUUACUGACCGAUAGUGAACUAGUACCGUGAGGGAAAGGUGAAAAGAACCCCGGCGAGGGGAGUGAAAUAGAACCUGAAACCGUAUGCGUACAAGCAGUCGAAGCAUUUCUUUACAGAAAUGUGACGGCGUACCUUUUGUAUAAUGGGUCAGCGACUUACUUGUUGUAGCAAGCUUAACCGUUUAGGGGAGGCGUAGAGAAAUCGAGUCUGAAAUUGGCGUUCAGUUGCAACGAGUMGACCCGAAACCCGARCGAAAAUAUGGGGSGGCGGGGGAAAGUUAGGUAACACUGACUGGAGGGCCCCACCCCCCUAAUGUUGAAAAAAUUAGGGGAGGAGCUGUGGCUAGGGAGGCGGCCGGAAGACGAGGGGAGGG